UCGGGGGCCGCGGAGGGGGGCGCGGAGCAAGGCCGUGGCGCGGAGAGCUCCCACGGCGUAUAUCUGCGUGGCUCCGCGCGGCCGUGAGGCCCAGGCCUGCGGAGAGGGGGCGGUGUGCGCCCGGGAGGGGGGGGGGGCGGGAGCUAGGGGGCGGGGCCCGGGGCUGGGUGGGUGGGCCCGGCCACGCCGAUUGGUCGACGGCGGGGGAGACGCUCCCGCACGCCGCCGCCUCUGAUUGGCCCAGCGGUAGGAAAGGUUAAACCAAAAAUUUUUUUACAGCCCUAGUGUGCGCCUGUAGCUCGGGAAAUUAAUUGUGGCUAUAGCCGCCUCGAUCGCUGUCUCCCCAGCCUCGCCGCGGCCGCUCCGGGACGCGCCCGCCCGCAGCCCGGCUCUCCCCCCCUUUGGGCUGCUGCUGCUGCUGCUGCUGUGACUGCUGCUGCGAGAGGAGGAGGAGGUGGAGGAGGAGGAGGAGGAGGAGGAGGAGGAGGAGGAAGCAGAAAAGGGGGGGGAGCGGGGGGUGGGGGGGAGACCAAGAAGUAGAGUUGGGAGCGAGGGAGCUUCACCCCCGGGGCGGUGGUUGUUUUUUUUUUUUUUUCCCUUUCUUUUUUUUCUUUUUCCUUUUUUUUUUUUUUUUCCCCUUCCUCCCCCUUCUAACUCCUGAGGGGUGGUUGCUGCUUUUGCUACAUGACUUGCCAGCGCCGGAGCCUGCGGUCCAACUGCGCUGCUGUCGGAGCGCUCAGUGCCGCCGCCGCCACCCGCGCCGCCCGCGCCCCGCUUGGCUCCCACCGGCCGCCGCUGCCCCGCUCCCGCUCCCGCUCCGCCGCCGCCGCCGCCGCCCCUCGACGACUGGGUGAUGCUGGACAUGGGAGAUAGGAAAGAGGUGAAAAUGAUCCCCAAGUCCUCGUUCAGCAUCAACAGCCUGGUGCCUGAGGCGGUCCAGAACGACAACCACCACGCGAGCCACGGCCACCACAACAGCCACCACCCCCAGCACCACCACCACCACCACCACCAUCACCACCACCCUCCGCCGCCCGCCCCGCAACCGCCGCCGCCGCCGCAGCCGCAGCAGCCGCCGCCGCCGCCACCUCAGGCGCCUCAGCCCUCUCAGGCGCGGGGCGCCCCGGCCGCCGACGACGACAAGGGGCCCCAGCAGCUGCUGCUGCCGCCGCCGCCGCCCUCGGCCGCCGGCCUGGACGGAGCCAAAGCCGACGGGCUGGGCGGCAAGGGCGAGCCGGGCGGGGGCCCCGGGGAGCUGGCGUCCGUGGGGCCGGACGAGAAGGAGAAAGGCGCCGGCGCCGGAGGGGAGGAGAAGAAGGGGGCGGGCGAGGGCGGCAAGGACGGGGAGGGGGGCAAGGAGGGCGAGAAGAAGAAUGGCAAGUACGAGAAGCCGCCCUUCAGCUACAACGCGCUCAUCAUGAUGGCCAUCCGGCAGAGCCCCGAGAAGCGGCUGACGCUCAACGGCAUCUACGAGUUCAUCAUGAAGAACUUCCCGUACUACCGCGAGAACAAGCAGGGAUGGCAGAACUCCAUCCGCCACAACCUGUCCCUCAACAAGUGCUUCGUCAAGGUGCCGCGCCACUACGACGACCCGGGCAAGGGCAACUACUGGAUGUUGGACCCGUCGAGCGACGACGUGUUCAUCGGCGGCACGACGGGCAAGCUGAGGCGCCGCUCCACCACGUCGCGGGCCAAGCUGGCGUUCAAGCGCGGCGCGCGCCUCACCUCCACGGGCCUCACCUUCAUGGACCGCGCCGGCUCCCUCUACUGGCCCAUGUCGCCCUUCCUGUCCCUGCACCACCCCCGCGCCAGCAGCACUUUGAGUUACAACGGCACCACGUCGGCCUACCCCAGCCACCCCAUGCCCUACAGUUCCGUGUUGACUCAGAACUCGCUGGGCAACAACCACUCCUUCUCCACAGCCAACGGGCUGAGCGUGGACCGGCUGGUCAACGGGGAGAUCCCGUACGCCACGCACCACCUGACGGCCGCCGCGCUCGCAGCCUCGGUGCCGUGCGGCCUGUCGGUGCCCUGCUCCGGGACCUACUCCCUCAACCCCUGCUCGGUCAACCUGCUCGCGGGCCAGACCAGUUACUUUUUCCCUCACGUCCCGCACCCGUCAAUGACUUCGCAGAGCAGCACGUCCAUGAGCGCCCGGGCCGCGUCGUCCUCCACGUCUCCGCAGGCCCCCUCGACCCUGCCCUAUUCUCCCGAGGUCAUCUGAAGGAUGCAAUGAGAAAGAGAUGUUUUAAGGCUGGGAGCACUAUGACCCCCAAGAUCGACUUUUCUCCUUGGUCAGUACAAUGAAGGCUGAUGACAUGAUCAUCCACUUUGCAUCAAUGGAUACUUGCUCAUCGGUGUGCUAUUAUAAGACAGAAGUUCUUCAACUCAAAGAAGAGUGG